rnacentral:lncRNA from 1 species
UUUUAUUUUCCCACUGUACAGCAAGGGGGUCAGGUUAUCCUUACAUGUAUACAUUACAAUUGUAUUUUUUCCCCCAUCCUUUCUUCUGUUGCAACAUGAGUAUCUAGACAAAGUUCUCAAUGCUAUUCAGCAGGAUCUCCUUGUAAAUCUAUUCUAAGCUGUGCUUGAUAAGUCCAAGCUCCCAAUCCCUCCCACUCCCUCCCCCUCCCAUCAGGCAGCCACAAGUCUCUUCUCCAAGUCCAUGAUUUUCUUUUCUGAGAUGUUCAUUUGUGCUGGAUAUUAGAUUCCAGUUAUAAGUGAUAUCAUAUGGUAUUUGUCUUUGUCUUUCUGGCUCAUUUCACUCAGGAUGAGAAUCUCUAGUUCCAUCCAUGUUGCUGCAAAUGGCAUUAUGUCAUCCUUUUUUAUGGCUGAGUAGUAUUCCAUUGUGUAUAUAUACCACCUCUUCCGAAUCCAAUCCUCUGUCGAUGGACAUUUGGGUUGUUUCCAUGUCCUGGCUAUUGUGAACAGUGCUGCAAUGGACAUGCGGGUGCACGUGUCUCUUUUAAGGAGAGUUUUGUCUGGAUAAAUGCCCAAGAGUGGGAUUGCGGGGUCAUAUGGAAGUUCUAUGUAUAGAUUUCUAAGGUAUCUCCAAACUGUUCUCCAUAGUGGCUGUACCAGUUUACAUUCCCACCAGCAGUGCAGGAGGGUUCCCUUUUCUCCACAGCCCCUCCAGCACUUGUUAUUUGUGGAUUUAUUAAUGAUGGCCAUUCUGACUGGUGUGAGGUGGUAUCUCACGGUAGUUUGGAUUUGCAUUUCACUUAUAAUCAGCGAUGUUGAGCAUUUUUUCAUGUGUUUGUUGGCCAUCUGUAUAUCUUCUUUGGAGAAAUGUCUAUUCAGGUCUUUUGCCCAUUUUUCCAUUGAUUGAUUGGUUUUUUUGCUGUUGGGUUGUAUAAGUUGUUUAUAUCUUCUAGAGAUGAAGCCCUUGUUGGUUGCAUCAUUUGAAACUGUUUUCUCCCAUUCUGUAAGUUGUCUUUUUGUUUUGUUUUGGGUUUCCUUUGCUGUGCAAAAGCUUUUCAGUUUGAUGAGGUCCCAUGGGUUUAUUUUUGCUCUAAUUUCUAUUGCUUUGGGAGACUGGCCUGAGAAAAAUUCAUGAUGUUGAUGUCAGAGAGUGUUUUGCCUAUGUUUUCUUCUAGGAGUUUGAUGGUGUCCUUUAAAGGCCAAUUUAGGUGGGGGUGGCUUUCAGGCAAGGGAAGCCACUUGAGUGAGGGCCUAGGAGGUGACAAAGUUUGUAGAAUUGAGUGAGAGUGACUAGAGUGGAGGCUAAUUAAUAUGAGGGAAAAUGAGGAAACAACGUUGAUGUUACGUGUAGAAACAAAUAGACAAGGAGUAUGCUAAUUUGGUACAUUAAAUGCAUAAAUAAUUUUCAUAUCUUCACUUUUAGGAGUCUGGGAGCCAGAAAUAGAAUGCUUAUGUCUUGGCAAAAUAUGUGCAUUGAUACACACCUGAAACCAACACAGCAUUGUAAAUCAGCUAUACUUCAAGAUUUUUUAAAUGUGUGCUGAGAAUCUCAGAAAGAAAAAAAUAUGUAUGUUAAUUGGGAUCCUAUUUACUUUUAUGUUUACUAGGUUAAUUAUUUAAAUGUGAUGCUUUAUUUUGAUGGAUAUCCAUAAGCAAGCAAAGUGUGCUAAAAUGGUGUAAUUGUGUUGAAUUUCCCAUAUCCUGCAUUUCAUAGCAGAGGAUUGGGUAAAGACUAUAUAGCCUACACUCAAGCAAAAUCAUUUUAUUUAACCUAUCUAUUGGUCAAAUAUUCCUGUCCUCUAGGGGUACUUGAGUAAGAAUACAAGUGUAUCAGUUAGCUUUUGCUGUGUAAUAGAAUGCCCUCACAACAGUGUCUUAAAAUAACAACCAUUUAUUUAGUUUACAAUUCUGUCAUUGGCAAAGUAGGCUGGGCUCAGCUACGUUGUUGGUUCUUCUGAUCUUAGGUGGAUACAUUCUUACAUCUAUUUUCAAUCAUAGCUAGGUAGGCAGCUUUAGUGAUGGACCCUCACAUGUUUGAGACCUCAGCUUGGAUAAAUGUUGGCUUGAUCUCUCAUCGUCCCACAGGCUGGCCAAGGUUGUUCCUAUGGUGGCCAGGAAGAUUUCCUAGAUAGAAUGGAAACAAACACAGCCUCUUGAGUCCCAAGCUUAGAACUGACAUAGUAUAUAACUUCUACCAUGUUCUACUGGCUGAUGCUAGUCACAAGGUCUGGUGCAGAUUCCAGGAGUGGGGAAAAUCAUCUCCACACCUUGGUGGGAGAAGUAGCAGAGUCUCAUCGUGAAGAGCAUAGGAACAGUGAGAGGAAAAAUUGCUUUAACUUUAGCAAUAUUCUCCGAUUACUCAUACACUCCUAAUUCUUGCUAUGUGUAAAAGGAAUCACAUAAGGGAGCUCUAAUGAGCAGAGGAUGGCAACAGACCCAUUUCUUAUCUUUUGCAGCCAAACAGGAGACUUACAGAGAUCUGCCCUUUCCCAUGAGGGAAUUCAUUCCAUCCCUUUGGGCUGCUGGGUCAGUCAAUUUUUUCCAUUUUGGUUUUCUGACUGUGGCCAUCCUCUCCUUUUCAUCCCCCAGGACAAUAGCCUGGGAUUCUCUGCACAGAUGUCAAAGAAAUGAAAUGUCAGCAGAGUUCACUGUGACCCUGGAGGCCAGUGCUCUCCCCCUCUCUCUCCCAUCUCCUGCUCAUAGUCGCCUUUGGCAGGGCUGGUCUGCACUAUUAAUAAACCUUCCCCUCAGCACUUUCUCUUGAGGGAACGGUAUCAGAUGGGCUCCAUCUAUCUCCCAGCUUCACUCCCGUCAGGCUGGACAGAAGGUCUCCUGACAUGGAGAUAAGAAAUCUCAGACAUGACUGCUAUGGAGGGGAAGCUCAGGGUUCCAUUUUCCUUAUGAAAGGUCAUAUCACUUCUUUUGCAGUGUUUGGAAAGAAAAGAGCCAACAUAAUGCACUUUUAAAAUGCCAAUGGUCUUGACAUCCCUAAUAAGAAGUAAAUGAAGGAAGAGAAUAACUGAGAAGGAGAGCUGACUUCUAAGUGCCAGCGGGAGAAGUAAAACAUUUUUAAUAACCCAUGUUAAAGGCUAUGUUUAAUUCAAUUCUGGGUUAGGGAAAUGCAAUUAUUGCUGCUUUUAAAAAAAACUUCUUGCCUCAUUGCGUUGAAUACAAGCACCAGGAAUAGCUCCCCCCUCAAGAGGCUUAGGAGGCAGGGCAAACCAGUCAGAAACUAGCCAUAUCAGCUUUUCAUCCAUUUAUUCUUUCAUCACAUAUUUGAGUGGUCACUAUAUGCCAGGAACCGCUGGGCACAGGGAAUGCAGAAGUGGGAGAUGGCACAAGAUUUUGUUCUAAAGUAACUCACAGUCUAAUUAGGGAGCAUGACAAGUCAACAGACAGUAGCUAUAGAGAGUGAUGGGUGCUACCUCAAGAAGUGUAAAGUGUUAUGGAAGCCUCUCCAUGGGAACAUCUUCUUUUGAGGUUCUUCCCUCAAGCAGUAGAGGCUCCAGGAAAUUAUGGGCCAAGCCUAACAUAUUUACUCCUAUACCAUGGUGGCUGGCCCUUAGAAGGGGCUCAUUCCUAUUUAUUGGUUGACUUAGUGGUAUGAAUCCAACAUUCUCACCCCAUGGUUCUGUCAGUUCUUCUCCAAACUGGCCCUGAAUUCUUACACCUGUGAGCUUUGACAAAUAAUGUCUGGAAUCUUGUUCUCACUUGUUCUCACAUUUCAGUCCUCUAGAAAACUCCUAUUCACCCCUCAAUAGCCAGACUAAAUGCUCUCUCUUCUGCAGAGCCUUUUCUGAUCUGCUGAGUAGAACCUAUCCUCUCUCCAUAAUGCCUCUAAGCACCUUGUUUAUAUAUCAAGUUUGGUCCUAGUCUCAAAGGACUUGUCUAUUGUAAUCAUUUGUUUUUAAUAUAUUUCUGUAUCCUUCACCAGAUCAUGGGCUUCGUUUGAGCUGGGUCUGGAUGUUAGAAAUCUUUAAAUCAUCUGUGCCUGGCCCACAGUAGCAGCUCAACCAAUGUUCAUUGUAAGGAUAAAAGACUACACUUUAUGACCACAGAUCAGUGACUGUCAUUAAGAUGGUAUUUUCUGAUUCAUGGAGACAAUGGGAUAGAAUUUGGGAUGCAGGAAGGAGAACGGAGAGGAACACCAUAAGCUUAGCCUCCUCUCAGCUGUAGGGACUGCAUUUCCUGCUUUGUCUAAUCUUAGAAAGAGGAGGCUAGGGUUCACGUCUUAGAGCUAUGGCUCAUAUCCCAGAGCAGAUGAAACACUGCUCUCUGCAGAGAGUAUGGAGAUCAUUGAUCAAAAGCUGGGCAGGAUUUAGGACUGCUUGGAACUGAACAUUCAGAUGCUGUCAUUAGCACAGACUCUCAUCUCAGAAGUUUCACUUUAAUCUUUAUGUUCCACCUGAUGCUCAGUCAUGAUAUGCUGAUGCAGCACAGGAGUCCUAGGGUCAACUGGGGAGGGAUGACCUGGAGCAGGUAAGAGAGGGCUUUAAUUAGCUGAAGGGCUGCCAUGUGGAAGAGGCAGCAGAACAAAAAACAGAGGGUGAUGGUUACAAGGCAGCAGAUUGAGUCUGACACAAGAAAUGUUCAAAAACUAAGAUUCUUAUACUACUGGGAUUAAAUAUUAUAAAGUGAUGAGUUCCCUGACACUUCUAAGUAUGGCAUUAGACUGGAGCAAGAUUGGUAAUUCUAUUUGUCUUUCAGCUGUGAAAAAAAAAUCUGCUUGUUCAUCAGUAGAGAAGAUAAAAUAACCAUAACAAAUAAACAACCCAUGAAUGCAGUGAUAUAACCUAACCAAUGGUCAUGCUUAUUUCCUGUCAUUCCUAGUCAACCGUGGUCCUGCAUGGCCUCCCUCCAGUGGCCUGUAUUUUUCUUUCAUUCUUCCUUUUUUCAUUCUGUACCCUCACCUCUCUCUCAAAAUAUGAUGUAGUUGUCCUAGACUGUCUUGAAUGAGGACAUCUGGGUCCCAGUUCUAGGGGAAAAACUAUCUGUGCUUAACAGUUGUUUAGGACCACGGACAGCAACAUAUGGUUUCUUCUCCCCCAGCUGCUGAGGUUAGGCUACAUCCAGGUUGCCAGGGCCAUAUUUAAGCCAAAAUUGUGGGACCACCUGCUAUGAUUGAUGCACUUGGGUUCCUAUGUAUCAAUUUUCUAGAUUUAUUCAUGUACUGAGAGAGAGGGAGAGAAAUAGAAAGAGAUGAGACACAGUUAUCUAAUGAGUUCUGAUUCUCAAAGGUCCAGUGGUUUUCUCCAUCAUUGAAAUGCAUAAGAUUACCCUUUAUCCAUUCAGUCAACCUCCUUUUACUUGAGUCAGUCUAAGGAGGUUUGUUUGUUUGUUUGUUUGUUUCUUUCUUUCUUCCUUUCUUGUCUUUUUUGGGCCACACCCACGGCAUAUGGAAGUUCCCAGGCUAGGGGUCAAAUCAGAACUUCAGCUGCUGGCCUAUGCCACAGCCACAGCAAUGUGGGAUCUGAGCUGC